GAUGAAGAACGUAGCGAAAUGCGAUACUUGGUGUGAAUUGCAGAAUCCCGUGAACCAUCGAGUCUUUGAACGCAAGUUGCGCCCGAAGCCACUAGGCCGAGGGCACGCCUGCCUGGGCGUCACACGCCGUUGCCCCCCCAUCUACUCCUUCGGGAUUGCGGGGGGGCGGAUGAUGGCCUCCCGUGCGCCUAGCCGCGCGGUUGGCAUAAAUACCAAGUCCUCGGCGACGCACGCCACGACAAUCGGUGGUUGAGAAACCUCGGUUGCCCGUCGUGUGCGUUCGUCGCGCAUCGAGGGCUCGAAAAAAUGCUCGGCUCCGGCUGGGCUUUCAACGCGACCCCAGGUCAGGCGGGGUUACCCGCUGAAUUUAAGCAUAUCAAUAAGCGGAGGA
rnacentral:misc_RNA from 1 species